rnacentral:rRNA from 1 species
UACGUAGGGUGCAAGCGUUGUCCGGAAUUAUUGGGCGUAAAGAGCUCGUAGGCGGUUUGUCGCGUCUGCUGUGAAAACUCGGGGCUUAACUCCGGGCCUGCAGUGGGUACGGGCAGACUAGAGUGCGGUAGGGGAGACUUGAAUUCCUGGUGUAGCGGUGAAAUGCGCAGAUAUCAGGAGGAACACCGGUGGCGAAGGCGGGUCUCUGGGCCGUAACUGACGCUGAGGAGCGAAAGCGUGGGGAGCGAACAGG